AGACGCUCAGGUCUGUCUCUCUCUCUCUCGCUCCCCCCCACCGCCUCGUUUCCCUGAGAGCCGUGUUUUGCAUCUCUCCCUAAUUUGCAUUUCUUCUUUAGAUUUUCCGUGCGACGGUCUAGCCGCUCGAAAUCAUAGAAUAAGGCGUAGCACCGCAGCAAUAUCUACAUGCUCCCGGCAUUUCCAAAGCAAUACGCACGGCGGAACCCAUUGGAAAAUUUGAAUAAUGUUGCCGAAGCUUUCCGGAAGGUGAAAUUGAGGAAUAUAUUUGGAUCAAUCCGUUUGGUUGCGCACUAGAGGAGACACAUGCCUUCGAGGUAAACAGACAGCAGGACUGGACAGCCAGAUAGUAGCCUAGGUUAUAUCGUUUUUCUCCCGCGUUAUAAGCAGUUACAGGCUGUUAUAACGCCACGGUAGUGGUCCUAAGGUCGAGCAGAGCGUUAUAUUUUGGUUUGUGCACCUUGGUUGGUUAUUGAGACGCAGUUGGAAAUGUCGGAAGUACUACAAGACGAAAUGAGUCAUUAUGGAAAUGAGGACGAUGAGGGACACCUUUCCUUCACCUGUCGCCUCCAAGACACCAACAACUUCUUCAGCGGCUCGCAGGGGGGCAAACGCCCGCCCAAACUUGGACAGAUAGGCAGAAGCAAACGAGUCAUCGAGGAUGAGAGCGGCGUUGACGAGGCGCAGAAAAACGGGACAGAGAAAACACAGACGGAGGCUUAAACACACCACCCCCGCCCCCCCGAAAGACAUUGAUUCUCAUUUUCUAUUCGAAAUCAACAGUUUUAAUCCAAAAACACUGUAUAUAAGCACUUUCAUCCCAUAUGGCAGCAAGCACUUCUAGACCCUCUCCCAGUCCUCAUGAUGGUGAUCUCCUGGGACUUAUACUGGCAGGAUGAGGAAGCAGCCAAGACAAGAGAUGGAGACGGACACCGAGACCGAGACGGUGAUGGAUACAGACGCCCAGGUGAAUGCUGUCAUGCCAGGGUUUACGCCCAUAGAGCUUGUCUAAAACGGGGGAUGACCAGCCUUCUACCCAGAGAGCUACAUGGUGAGCAGCAGGCUUUUGCUUCAGCCCUACACAUUUUACACUAGUCAAUUAUUGGUCGUAUAUAACUCCUAAGCAGGUUGACCAACAAAUGUAGCAGUCUGAAAACGGUAUUUUCAUGGUCCUGGGUAGCAGCUCAUUCGUAGCAUUAGGUGUAUUAGAGUAGGGAUGGAUCAAAACCCUGCCGGAGGGGGAUAGCUCUCAAGGAGGAGGGUCUAAACCAUGUGACCAGGAGAGGAUGCUGACGGAGGAAGACAAUGCUGUCGAACAAACACAGAAAUCAGGGAACAAACUAUAGAAAUGAUCUUGUAAACUAAAGCACACACACACACACACACACACACUCUUAUAUCAAUCAAACCAUAUGAUAUUACAUUACCAUUCUUUCUGCUCUUGAUUCUUCUGAUGAUGAGUGCAAACAAAUAAAUAAUAUAAAUAACUUGUAAAUAAGAAAUGGUACAGAUGUAGGAUCUUAAUUUGAUCACCCUGUUGCAGUAAAACGUGUAGUGUAUGUGAGGUUUAAAAAGGCAUCUGAAGUUAGUCAUUUCCACUUUGAAAUUUCAGGCAUGAUUUCCCUUAUGAGAAAUGCUUCAAACCCUACAAAUGUCCAUUAAUUAUGAUCCAUAUAAUAAUUCACAUUUCCUGUUGCUGCAAGAUUAUUUUCCUGCUGUAGCAAACUGGCUCGAAUUAAGAUCCCUACAUCUGCAGCCUCACGUUCUGUUCUGUGCCAGUCGGUUUCUGCUCUCUUGUCAACUCCUUGUGGAAUUGUCAUUUUUGGUGUGACAAUUGGUCGUGAUUAUGGACCUGGCAAGAUGGCACGAACAGAUCUGAGACCAGGCUAACGUUUUGUUGCACAGCGGAGAAAAGAAGCAGUGAAAUGGUUUGUUGUAAUCUAACGUAAUGUGUCUGUAUAAAGAGACCUUAUUCAUUAACCCUUUGGAGAAGUAUUUUGCAGUGCUCAAGGCCUGAGGGAAAAACGGAGGGAGAGUUUUGUAUGGCGAGAAUUACGAUGACAGGAUUAAUGAAGUGAUCUUUUCCUUUUUUUACUUCUUAUACAUUUUGAUGUCGCCUGAUCAGUUUUUGUUACCAUCCUUUGCAUCUAUAGAGUCAUGUAUACACAUUAUACAGUACUGUACAUCACUUGUUUGUAAAGGCACCAAAAGGCCUAAAGUCUGGAUUGUUAAAUAUAACUGUACACACUCCCUAUUUAUGAACUAUUUCUAUUGCAUUGCGCAUUAUCACGUGUGCCAAAUAUCAGGAGGGAUAACCAGACAACAUGGUUGCUUAUGUUGUGCUUUCUAUACGUUUAAUUGUAACAAUUUUGUUAUUCUUCUGUUGUUGCCAUUGUUCAGGGCUUUUUCUUACCACUGAAUUACCAACUGAUGCAUGGCAGAAAUGGAAUCAUGCAUGCAUGGCAAUGUUCUGAAGAUGAUCUUGUGUAUUCUAGAACACCUCCUGUACCACUUUGAAUGAUUAUCCUCCAGAACAGUCUUUAAUAUGACGUAUGUUGUACUGUGCUGUACUAUUAUCUCACUGAUUUGUACAGUAGUCUAAUAUCUUGUAAUAAAGAUUCAGAAGAAGUUAA